rnacentral:rRNA from 1 species
AUGAACGCUGGCUGCGUGCCUAAUACAUGCAAGUCGAGCGAACGGACGAGAAGCUUGCUUCUCUGAUGUUAGCGGCGGACGGGUGAGUAACACGUGGAUAACCUACCUAUAAGACUGGGAUAACUUCGGGAAACCGGAGCUAAUACCGGAUAAUAUUUUGAACCGCAUGGUUCAAAAGUGAAAGACGGUCUUGCUGUCACUUAUAGAUGGAUCCGCGCUGCAUUAGCUAGUUGGUAAGGUAACGGCUUACCAAGGCAACGAUGCAUAGCCGACCUGAGAGGGUGAUCGGCCACACUGGAACUGAGACACGGUCCAGACUCCUACGGGAGGCAGCAGUAGGGAAUCUUCCGCAAUGGGCGAAAGCCUGACGGAGCAACGCCGCGUGAGUGAUGAAGGUCUUCGGAUCGUAAAACUCUGUUAUUAGGGAAGAACAUAUGUGUAAGUAACUGUGCACAUCUUGACGGUACCUAAUCAGAAAGCCACGGCUAACUACGUG